GUGCUCACUUUGGCAGCAAAUAUACUAAAAUUGGAACUAUUCAGAGAACAUUAGCAUGGCCCCUGUGUUAGGAUGAUAUGCAAAUUUAUGAAGUGUUCCAUAUUUAA